AGUGAACGCUGGCGGUAGGCCUAACACAUGCAAGUCGAACGGCAGCACAGUAAGAGCUUGCUCUUACGGGUGGCGAGUGGCGGACGGGUGAGGAAUACAUCGGAAUCUACUUUUUCGUGGGGGAUAACGUAGGGAAACUUACGCUAAUACCGCAUACGACCUACGGGUGAAAGCAGGGGAUCUUCGGACCUUGCGCGAUUGAAUGAGCCGAUGUCGGAUUAGCUAGUUGGCGGGGUAAAGGCCCACCAAGGCGACGAUCCGUAGCUGGUCUGAGAGGAUGCUGCGCCACACUGGAACUGAGACACGCCCCACCCUCCGCGGGGAGGAGCCAGGGGGAAUUAUUGAACAAGGGGCGCAGCCCUGUUCCCCCCAUCCCGGGGGGUGAAAAAAGGCCUCCGGUUGUAAAACCCUUUUUGUUGGAAAAAAAAAACAACAGUUUAAUCCCCCGCUGUUCGGGCGGUCCCCAAAAAAAAAACCCCGGCAAACUUCGUC
rnacentral:rRNA from 1 species